rnacentral:tRNA from 1 species
UGGCUCAGUUGGUAGAGCAUGGCGCUUGAAACGCCAAGGUUGUGGGUUCAAUUCCCAC